UACGUAGGGUGCGAGCGUUGUCCGGAAUUAUUGGGCGUAAAGAGCUUGUAGGCGGUUUGUCGCGUCUGCUGUGAAAAUCCGGGGCUCAACCCCGGACUUGCAGUGGGUACGGGCAGACUAGAGUGUGGUAGGGGAGACUGGAAGUUCCUGGUGUAGCGGUGAAAUGCGUAGAUAUCGGGAGGAACACCAGUGGCGAAGGCGACUACCUGGCCCAUUCUUGACGCUGAGGCGCGAAAGCUAGGGGAGCGAACGGG
rnacentral:rRNA from 1 species